AGAAAUGAAGAUUUUGUUUUGCAUCAGCAUUUGCUGCUUUAUGCUGGUUCCAUUGUUCGGAGCGAGCCACUUUACAGGUGUUCCUUGUGAUGUCAAAGGUCGCCUAGUCAACACGUCUCAGAUCUGGGUAUGGUGCAAUCAGACAUGUGACAACUUAUCAAGCCUGCCGGACACAACACCCUGUUAU